rnacentral:lncRNA from 1 species
UUGUUGUUGUUGUUGUAGUAGCCAUGACAUGGUCACCACGAUUCCCUUUGUGAGGAAGCACCCCUCCUCACGAAGUUCCAGGGAUAUUUUCUGAAUUCCUUAGAGAGAGUUGUCUCUCGCCCUUGGGUAUUCUCUAUCCAUCUUAUAUAGGUGUGUGCAAGUAUCAAAUAAUAUGCAUGUAUCGAUUUCUAAAUUCAAGCAUGUAUGGAACAAUCUGUCUGAGGAACUGAAAGAACAUUCCACACCUAUGUUGUGUCACACCUCUUCGGCAUAGGUCAUUACGCAAAUAAAGCAGGAGCAAACCUAUGUUGAGCCAAUGGGGUUCAAUUGAAUCCCUUUAUCAGAAAACUAAACUACGUAAAUAGGGAAAAAAUGUUUUUUUUUAAUUAUAUAUUAAUUGUUGAAUCCCUUAGAAAUAAGGGAAUAUUCUAGUGUAGUAACACGGAGGAUUCAACAAUUGAUUUAGGUCAUAGGUUCAAAUUCUAAGUGUAACAUUUUAGUACUUUUUUUUAAUCUCCUCGCAUAAAUUCCUUGGGUGUAUGUUUAAGUUCAACUCUUCUAACAGCCAGUUAGCUCGGCAUCUUGGCAGAAGUCACAGGUCUUACUAUUAACACGAUGUAACACCCCGCCAAAUCGUCCAUGCGUUAGUCUCAUUUAUUUUGACUUCCUAAGUGAGUAAAGUUUAAACCAUAUAGAAUUUUCUUAAUUUUGACUCUAUCAAGUGGGAAAUUGAAUGAGCUUUCCGUCGAUAUAAGAUUUGCCCAAAUCCAAUACCCGUGCAAGAAAUUAUGACUAAUUUAAGUCCUAGUCGAAAACACCGUCAUUUUUGUGCUUGGUGCAUCGCGGAGGGGGUCUAUUUAACAAUUGUUAAAUUCUAGUAGCCUAGCGCGAUUAUGGCGCGUCGCGCUGAAGUUCCAGGUCCCAACCAGUGGGACAACGCGAUGGCUCCGCGUGGCGGUGACCCUAAGAAUCCCAUUCGUCAAAUUCCACUGAGCCACCGCGAUUGUGGAGCGUCGCGGUGGCCUAUAAAAUCGGGCUCCCAGUUAUAUUUUAUUCCGUCUCAUUAAGGGUAUAUUAGGUAUUUUCCACCCCCUUUUCAGUUUAAACACGGGAUUAUACUCUCAAGUGACCACAUUAUUCAUAUUCUCUUCAAAAAUUCACAAGAACACUCUCUAGGGUUUUAAACUAAAAAACCAAUUAACUCAAGAUUCAACCGUGGGUUUUCGAAACUAAUUGAAGAUUUGGAAUCCCU